GGACUACCGGGGUUUCUAAUCCUGUUUGCUCCCCACGCUUUCGUGCCUGAGCGUCAGUCUUUGUCCAGGGGGCCGCCUUCGCCACCGGUAUUCCUCCAGAUCUCUACGCAUUUCACCGCUACACCUGGAAUUCUACCCCCCUCUACAAGACUCUAGUCUGCCAGUUCGAAAUGCAGUUCCCAGGUUGAGCCCGGGGCUUUCACAUCUCGCUUAACAGACCGCCUGCGCACGCUUUACGCCCAGUAAUUCCGAUUAACGCUUGCACCCUCCGUAUUACCGCGGCUGCUGGCAC
rnacentral:misc_RNA from 1 species